UGCCAACUACCAUAAAGCACCUCAAGAAACUCCAAGUUAUAAUCCGUGUAUUGGCCAGGAAUUGAAGCCGGGUCAACUGUUUGGAAGGCAGCUAUGCUCACCUCUAUACCACCAAUGCCACGCUAGGCAGUUCAACUCUGCUGAACAAAAGUUUAAGUAUGUGCUCUUCUCAUCAGCAGACCAUAGGCAACAGCUAAAGGGCACUCUUGUCGUGGUUUCUGUAGCGUAGUGGUUAUCACGUUUGCGUCACACGUGAAAGGUCCCUGGUUCGAGACCCGGCAGAAACACGCUAGAACUUUUGAACUUUGCUUUAAUAACUGACUGGUUGUCAUCACCGUAGGAUCAGGUCCUCUAGGAACAGCCGGAAAGCGAGACCUUGGACAGAGCAGAUUUCCUUCUUUUGUGCUUUUGUAGCAAAGCAGUUAACAUUUGCUUACAAAAUGAAAGGGAGUCUCUGGUUUUCCACAGAAAGGGGAAGCCUGGCUCUUUCAUUGCUCAAUAAGACUCUGUGCGUGACUGGAAAAUUUUCCGUAAAGUACUGGUCGCCAAGUUCACCUAUCGGCAAGAGGUCUACGCCCGAAAAAGGCUGGGAGCGGUUUCCCUUCCAUUGAGCUUUUGUAUCAAGGCAGAUAACAGCUGCUUGCAAAAUCACAGGCAGUCUCUGCUUUUCCACUGAACGUGGAAGCCUGGCUCUUUCCUUCAUCAAGAAGACAAGAGUAAUGAUGCGCUUGAUUCGAGGUUGCAACUUGUAAUUCCCCACCUCCAAGCGGGAAAAUGCAAAGCAAACGCACCCUCAACUUGAAAUUGCCAUUCGUCAACAGUGGGAAGUCUUCUGAUCUACCAGUUCCUUCCCUGUUCAUCGAGUGACGUCGAGUCGGCAUGACGGAUUCAGAACUCACAAAGUGGCACUUACCUCAGUGGUUAUUUGCUUUAGAUCAGGGUUGUCCAGUCUUAUCCAGAAUGGGCCAGUGUGGUUGCAGGUUUUCAUUCUAACCAAGCAGAAGCCACACUUUAGUCUAUUGAAAGCCAAGAUCAGCGGAUCCAACAAUUGGAAUCAGGUGUGGCUCCUGCUAGAUUGGAACGAAAAGCUGAAGAUUGGACAACGCUGCUUAAGACCAAUCAGCAUAUAGACAUAUUUGCUUAUUAAAUAUAAAACAUUGACUAUAUAGAUGGCUGAUUGCGGAAAAUGUACACUUCUCAUCACAGUUUGCAUGCUAGCUUGUCGCUAACAAAAGACAGACACGGAGAGACCGCAUUUUCUUACAUUUUCACCCCUGUUCACGGGUCAAACGUGCCCUGAUGGAUAAUGACGUGUUUACAAACAGCAAAGAAGCACUAAGAAUAGAAGUGGGACGCAGAAAGAGUUGUGGGAGGCCUGCCGAGAAGCCUAUGGCACAUUAGGUUGACCCAUUUAUUUUCAGGUAGGUGAUUCCUUCCUUUUGUGCCAACUACCAUAAAGCACCUCCAGAAGCUCCAAGUUACAAUCCAUGCAUUGGCUGGGAAUCAAACCCCGGCCAACUGCUUGGAAGGCAGCUAUGCUCACCUCUAUACCACCAAUGCCACGCUGGGCAAUUCAACGCUGCUGAACAAAAGUUUAAGUAUGUGCUCUUCUCAUCAGCAGACCAUAGGCAACAGCUAAAGGGAGGUCCUGCAGUGGUUUCUGUAGUGUAGUGGUUAUCACGUUUGCCUAACACGCAAAAGGUCCCUGGUUCGAGACCGGGCAGAAACAAGCUAGAAAUUUUGAACUUUGCGUUAAUAACUGACCGGUUGUCAUCACGGUAGGAUCAGGUCCUCUAGGAACAGCCGGAAAGCGAGACCUUGGACAGAGCAGAUUUCCUUCUUUUCUGCUUUUGUAGCAAAGCAGGUAACAUUUGCUUACAAAAUGAAAGGGAGUCUCUGGUUUUCCACAGAAAGUGGAAGCCUGGCUCUUUCGUUGCUCAAUAAGACUCUGUGCGUGACUGGAAAAUUUUCCGUAAAGUACUGGUCACCAAGUUCACCUAUCGGCAAGAGGUCUACGCCCGAAAAAGGCUGGGAGCGGUUUCCCUUCCAUUGAGCUUUUGGAGCAAGGCAGAUAACAGCUGCUUGCAAAAUCACAAGCAGUCUCUGCUUUUCCACUGAAUGUGGGAGCCUGGCUCUUUCCUUCAUCAAGAAGACAAGAGUAAUGAUGCGCUUGAUUCGAGGGGUAGGGGUAGACAUGGCCAGGGAAUAAGAGAAACAAUACAGAGCAGCAAGUAGUUACACAGACUCCUGAAUGUUCUCAAUAACCAUACAUUUCAUGUAAACACCAACCAGAAACACUGAAAAUAUAUGUACACACUGUAUUUCACAAUAAUUAACAAUGGUCAAGUCCAUCAAUAACGCAAAUGUCCAAGUCUGUUAAGUUCAGUACCCCAACUAAACUUUCUAAAUCUUACGGUUCGGUCCCCAUUUGGGCGCCACUCUGUAGCGUGGUACCUUAUGGGGUUUGGACGCCAGACAGUUCAAAUUAACAGUCACUUAUAACUUAUAAUUUGGACAUCACUCAGAAUAAGGCUACUCAAUUCUUACAAAAUAAGUUUAUUAUUAUUUAUGCAAUAAACAUAAGAAAAUACAGAUUGUUUCAGUCAUAGAAACUGAAAUAAUGAAAACCAAAAAGUUCCCCUACGUGGGAUUAAUAAACGCACCCAUAAGGAAACAAGGCUCUAUUCAUAAAAGAAAAUUUUCACACACAAAAGGCAGAAAAAAAACAUGUAACUCCAAAAUAAUUCUUAACCAAAACAAAAAAGUUGUUCACUUUAAAAGCUGCACUUCAAUGGUGGUGAUUUAGGCGUACGGGAGUUCGUGAACCCGAAAGCAUGGGAAACCGGCAGUCAGAUUCCGCUUAACACUCGGAGUUCUUUACAGACAGUAACAUCCAACGAUUUAAACAUACUGGUUCUCCACAAAAGUAUUAAAGAAAGGAUCUCAAAACCGUGAUGUGCCUCCGAACCCUCAAAACUCCGCUCGCUCGUUUAUUCACCUUGGUAGAAUAUUCCCGAAGUGUUCGCCAGCCUCCUGAAUCAAUAUCCACAAGGUUAUAAUCCACAGUAAGAGCAUUAGCAUGGUCCUUGGCAAACGCACACCAUCAGUUCCGCCAUUCCCACCUGGCUCUCAUUUCCGCGUCCCGCUUUCUCUCACCUAGUCACCUGUUCUUUUCAUGGCUUCCUAAGACCCCACCCUUCUCUUCAUCUCUUUUUUUACUUCUGUUAAUUAAAACACCACGGAAUGGAACGGACUCCGCUUCUGCAUCACUAAAUGGUAAAAUGGUAAAUGGCGCACUUAUAUAGCGCUUUUAUCCAAAGCGCUUUACACUGUGUCUCAUUUACCCAUUCACACACCAACAGUAGCAGAGCUGCCAUGCAAGGCGCUAACUUGCCAUCGGGAGCAACUUGGGGUUCAGUGUCUUGCCCAAGGACACUUUGGCAUGUGGCGUUAUGCUGGCUGGGAAUCAAACCGCCAACCCUACGAUUGGUGGAUAACCCGCUCUACCACCUGAUCCACAGCCACCCCUGUCACUGUGCAGCUAUCUGUUACAAAUGAAUGGGAAAAUAUCCUUGGCAUCCCUGCAAUUCAAGGAUGUUGUAAUUGGUAAGUUGUGAUGUCAAAAGUAUCUGUACCAAGUUGAUACUAAAAUUUUAAAAAGAAUGAUACGAUAAGUUUUUUUUUCAGUACCGGCAGUACCAAGUAUUCUCCUGCUUUCUGAUUGACUUUCUUUUGUAGGUAUUAAUUAACCGUGAUUUCCACUCAGCCAUCUUACUGGAAUUUGUGUAGGUUAGGAAUAAGACUGAGGAUGGAGUUGUACAGUUUUGUAGUGUGUAUCAUUUGUAAAUAUUGUUAACUUCUUUACCAUAGCCAUGCUGAGGGAGGUGUUGACUAAAUUAGAGAUGGUGCUGGACCAACAAACCACUGAGCUUGCUUCAACUACAGGUGUUCCAGGUGCAGUCUUUGGAUACUGAUGAAGAUUUACUGCCCUGCAAGAUCUUCCUCAACUGCAUAGUCUGGAGCAAAGGAUGCAACAGAGCCCAGAUUGCAAGCAAAAACUGGUGAGAAUUUUUUUCUUUUUUUGUUAACAAUUGCUUGCACAAUUACACAGCUACUGAGAGUGUUUGUUUUCUCAAGGUGACACACUCGUACUCAAAGCACAACAUUCAACACCACUUUGAUAUGAGGGAACAGUUAUGACCUAAUCUUUGGUAGAGGAGCAAAACAUGGAAAGCACACAGGGCAGGGUAACUGCAGGAGUAGUGAGAAGCACUGACACAGUUGACAAGGCAAUACAUGCUUAUUAAUUAUUUAUAUUUUAUAUUAUUUUAUAUUAUAUUAUUGUUUUAAAAAUCAUCGGUUUCGGGUAAACUGGUUGGCGCUUAUUGACAGGGCAGAUGUGCUUGACUGCACCUGGCGCAUAUUGAAGAGGGUGAUUGCUAACUCCCUGGCAAAGAACCUCAAUUGGAGGGGAGUCAAUGGAAAGACUUCACUGGCCACUCUCCAACUUGGAGAGGUCAUGAUUGAAACCUCUUCACGGCUAAAGCUGCAGAGAUGGAGGUUGAGGGGACCAUGAAGAGGUGGCUCCAGCUGGCAUCAGAUCAAGAGUGCGGGCGCAAGAGAAGACUUUUGAAAACUUUUGCAAAAAGAAGCCCUUUCCAGUAGCGGUUAUAUGAUGUUCCGAUCCAUCUUUUCACACUGAGGACAACCGAGGGACUCGUACAUGACGAUUCCAAAAGGUGCAAACAUUCACUGAUGCUCAAGAAGGUUACAGCAUGCAUUAAGAGCCUGGCUGUAAACGUUGUAAACAGGAUGAUCAUGUAAAUUUUUUUGUCUUCUGGG